GGGCGCAUAGCUCAGUUGGUUAGAGCGCUUGCUUGACAUGCAAGAGGUCAGAGGUUCAACUCCUCUUGUGCCCACCA
rnacentral:tRNA from 1 species